CAAAGUUUGACAGGUGACUCCGCAUCGGUCACAAUCAUCUGCUUUUAUAUACGUCAAAUCACUACCAUCUGAUGACGACUCUGAUAAAGACGGAAGACAUCAGUCAAAACAUGUCAGACUGUGUCUGCUGUCUUCUGAUUUUCAAGUGGGGUCACUCUUCUCUGUUAGCUUGCCAUCCUGGAGUGGUGAGGACUGCGUUGAUAGUGGCUCAAACGUUUUGGUAGCCCAUCAUGUCCUCUGACGUUAG